UACGAAGGGUGCAAACGUUGCUCGGAAUUACUGGGCGUAAAGCGCACGUAGGCGGCUUUGUAAGUUAGAGGUGAAAGCCCAGGGCUCAACCCUGGAAUUGCCUUUAAGACUGCAUCGCUUGAACAUCGGAGAGGUAAGUGGAAUUCCGAGUGUAGAGGUGAAAUUCGUAGAUAUUCGGAAGAACACCAGUGGCGAAGGCGACUUACUGGACACAUAUUGACGCUGAGGUGCGAAAGCGUGGGGGAGCAAACAGG
rnacentral:rRNA from 1 species